rnacentral:rRNA from 1 species
UGAACGCUAGCGACAGGCCUAACACAUGCAAGUCGAGGGCAGCACAAGGAGCAAUCUGAGGUGGCGACCGGCGCACGGGUGAGUAACACGUAUGCAACCUGCCUGUAAGCGGGGAAUAACCCGUUGAAAGACGGACUAAUACCGCAUAAUACUAAAUUACUGCAUGGUAAUUUAUUUAAACAUUUAUGGCUUACAGAUGGGCAUGCGCAUGAUUAGCUAGUUGGAGAGGUAACGGCUCCCCAAGGCAACGAUCAUUAGGGGUUCUGAGAGGAAGGUCCCCCACACUGGUACUGAGACACGGACCAGACUCCUACGGGAGGCAGCAGUGAGGAAUAUUGGUCAAUGGACGAGAGUCUGAACCAGCCAAGUCGCGUGCAGGAAGAAUGUCCUAUGGAUUGUAAACUGCUUUUGCAGGGGAAUAAAGUGCAUCACGUGUGAUGCUUUGUAUGUACUCUGCGAAUAAGGAUCGGCUAACUCCGUGCCAGCCGCAGC